rnacentral:rRNA from 1 species
UACAGAGGUCCCGAGCGUUGUUCGGAUUCAUUGGGCGUAAAGCGUGCGCAGGCGGCUAUGCAAGACAGAUGUGAAAUCCCCGGGCUCAACCUGGGAACUGCAUUUGUGACUGCAUGGCUAGAGUACGGUAGAGGGGGAUGGAAUUCCGCGUGUAGCAGUGAAAUGCGUAGAUAUGCGGAGGAACACCGAUGGCGAAGGCAAUCCCCUGGACCUGUACUGACGCUCAUGCACGAAAGCGUGGGGAGCAAACAGG